CCUACGGGUGGCUGCAGUCGAGAAUCAUUCACAAUGGGGGAAACCCUGAUGGUGCGACGCCGCGUGGGGGAAUGAAGGUCUUCGGAUUGUAAACCCCUGUCAUGUGGGAGCAAAUUAAAAAGAUAGUACCACAAGAGGAAGAGACGGCUAACUCUGUGCCAGCAGCCGCGGUAAUACAGAGGUCUCAAGCGUUGUUCGGAAUCACUGGGCGUAAGGCGUGCGUAGGCUGUUUCGUAAGUCGUGUGUGAAAGGCGCGGGCUCAACCCGCGGACGGCACAUGAUACUGCGAGACUAGAGUAAUGGAGGGGGAACCGGAAUUCUCGGUGUAGCAAUGAAAUGCGUAGAUAUCGAGAGGAACACUCGUGGCGAAGGCGGGUUCCUGGACAUUAACUGACGCUGAGGCACGAAGGCCAGGGGAGCGAAAGGGAUUAGAUACCCCAGUAGUC
rnacentral:rRNA from 1 species